CGGGGGGCGGAGACAGAGAGAGAGAGAGAGGCGUGCGCUCCCGCGGACGCGCGUGCGCCAGGCUUUCUGCCCCGGGCUCCGCCGGGCUCCAGCCCGGCUCCAGCCGGCGUCCGUGCGGCGUGCGUCCGUCCGGAGACCCAGUGACCCCGAGAGGGGAGGACAGGAAUCUCAGUAGAAAUCCCACUCGAAGGGGAAAGGCCCGUCCUAAGCCACCCUAAUGAUUUCUGGUUCUGCCUUAUCAAAUCCUAACUCCACCCAUCCAAGGCACUCCCGGAGCCACCUGGCAUCUCACCUACGAGAAACGGAGUGGCGGCGGGGGUGGCAAUCCCUGGGGAAACUCAGUGAAGGACGAGGAGUGACUCACAGAGCCACACAGAGAUCGCCAGGAUAAGGACAGACAGGCUCGACACCAGGCCCUAAAGCAUCCCUUAGCAAGAUCACAGCCGUUGAUGUUUGCACAGGGGGAAAGCCGGACAGCCGCACAGUGCAACACACCCAGCCUGCGUGUGAACACACACCAAGCGCCCAGAGGAGUGGAAGUGACUUGUUUAGCUCCUCAGUCGAGAGUGACAGCGAUGAGCAUCAGAGGGCGACAUCUGAGUGGCCACUGUGCGAGCAGCGCCCGCCUUAAGAUCCUGUAGUUCUCCCAGAAACACUACGGAGGCAAAUACUGUGAUUUCACUUGGCAGAUGAGAAAACUGAGGUUCCAAGCAUAUGUUGUACUUUACCUGAGGCCCCAGAACUAGAAACGGGGGUGGGGGGAGCGCACAACGCUUAAAUUCUGCACAUCAUUUAUCUAAAGGGGUGAAAGGGCCCCGUCUCAAGAAGAGGGGUACAGGGUGGGAAGCCCCCGGGAAGAGGUGCGGCUCGGAUUCUCACAGCCCUUUCUAAGUUUCUCCAAUCUACCCAUGAGAAACUACGAUGCCACCACUGUCUUGGAGAUUAGAAAGGGGGCAGAAUAUAGGUUGCACUUGCUUCUCGGUGAAUGAAAAAAUAAAUAAAAAGGAAAGGACAUGGUUCUGGUGGAAGUUACAUCCAAGCCCCCCUCCCCCUAUGUCUCCAAACCCUGCUGCAUCUCAGAAAGCCCGCCAAAUGAUGACCCCUCCCCCAGAGAUGCUCAAGACCACUCCACAGGGUAUUUAAACUGCCUCCCAGAAAAGAGACUCAAAAGUGGUUUUUUCAGCAUCCUUUCCCCAGCUCCUCUCUGGGGGACUGGAAGGCCAUCCGGGAGCCCUGUGUCCAUUAAACGUGUUUUGUUUGUUUGUUUGUUUGUUUUUGUUUUUCCUAGUUGGGUUUGAUUUGGUCUGAUUUGGAUUGCUGCAUGGGCGGGGAGGCUUUUCCCCGGGCUACAGAAACUUUUCAGACAUGACUGCUCCUGGUUUGCUGGAGGAGGAGGAGGAGGUUUAUUGUAGGCAAAAGGGAGACCUAGUCAGAGGCAGCGACAGCUGGGAGAGUCCAGAGAGAACAUGCCCCUGAGCCAUGUGAGGAGACGGAGAAGGGAAGAGCCAGAUCAAGAGGCCAGGAGGGGGAAGGGAGCAUGCCCAUGCCAGUUCUCCCACGGUGAAGAAGAAUGAGCCUGGGACCUUCCGU
ensembl:lncRNA